ensembl:lncRNA
UUCUGCUUCCUUUAAGUCCCACAGAGGAAACAUGGAUCACUCUCUGUUCUCUUCCCCUUAGGCUACUUUAAGGAAAACAACAACAACAACAACAACAACAACAACAACAGCAACAAACAAGGGGCUAUCUUUAUUUAGAAUGACUUAGAUAUAUGAAGUCAACAACUCACUGUGAAAAACUGACUCAUGCUCAAAAGAACAGUAUCUUUUAUUUCCUAUGAUUGUUCCACGGGGAAAAAACCUGCCUUUCCUUGCUGAUGGUGGUGAGGUAACAGCCAAGGAAACUUAAAUUUGCCAUUUGAAGGAGACACAAAAAUAUCUCCUGUGAGUAAAUGAUCUAUAUCAGAAUUGUGGAUUUCUCUCUCCUGCCUUUUCUCAGCCCAGAUGAUGUCUAGAUACAAAAGGAAGCUUUCAGAGAUAGAAGAAGCUGGACUCAGGUCAGAAGGGGUGUCUCUGGAAAAGCAAAGGAGGGGAAAAACAAGACCAACUCUAAGCUGAAGAGGGAUAUACAACUGCAAAGAGUUUGUGCUGUAGAGGUGACAAGACUACACACAGAUGUGUUUGAUGAGCUGACCUUCUGUUAACGGUCUUUGGGACUGAGCUGUCAUGUCUCAGAGAUUUGCUUCUUUCGAGCUGUCUCAUCAUUGCCUCAUAAACUAUUUUUCACUUUACUGAAGUUGAACUGUUGGGGCUACGAUUCUCUGGAUCAGUCCUCCUCUUACCCUCCAUCUAACUCUGGAAAUACUGGAUAUGGGGUUGGCACCUCAAAGCUUCCUUGUCGCUGUCUGGACCAACUCCCUAGAAAAGAACAUGUUGUUGAGCUCCCACUUCAGGACUCCUCACUCUUCCAAGCCAUGAGCUGCGAAGGAACCAGAACAGCUGGUUCCUGCCCCAGCCAACUGGGUUUAGGUCUUUUAGUCAGAGCUAUGUCUCCUCUCCAUUCAAAGGCCAAGUGCCCUCCUGGAUCAUCCAUCAUGUCAGCCAGGGGCAGAGAGUCAUGCAAUAUAGAGGAUGUUGGGACCACUUCUGUGUAUCCACUUCUGUAUCCAAGGAUACAGCCAAGGGGCAGGGCUUGGAAUUUCCAGCCUUCAGCAGCUAUUCCUGUAGGUACUAGCUGAUUUAUAAUAGGUAAUAGACACAAAUGAUAAAACCAGACACUUUCAGAGUUGGAAAGAAUCUUGUCUGUGAUCUAACCUAACUUUCUCAUUUUACAGAAAUAGAGAUGGAGGUCAGAGAUCUCACAGGCUCCCUCAAACAGAACUGCAUCUCAUCUCGAGCCUCCCAGCUCUGUGCCUACAUGCUGCCCCAGACCUCAGGCUGUCCACUGAUGUCAGCAUUGCCUGCACCGGGGUGACCCUCAUUUCUUUGUGCAUCUCCUUCAUCUCUGCCAGCUCUGGGUAUGGAGCUAGGAACAAGUGCUACUUUGUUGGACUGUAUCAGCUGGGAUCAACUUGCUGGACUCUUGUGACAGGGCUGAAAGUUCAGUGGAUGGACUGCUGUUUGGGAAAGUUGGUGAUAGGCCCACAGUAAUCCCAUCCAAGGGUCAUGUCAUCUCCAGCUCCUCCUUGCCUCAUAUCCCCAAAGUCUCCUCUUCUUCUUCCCUGAGUUCCUCCCCUUCUCACCCCAACACAAGAGCUUUUGUGAAAAGCUUAUGUUCCCUGACUAUAGCAGAAUUCUCUUUAAAAGAAAGCUUACCUUUCUAACUCCAAAAGCUUCAUGAGCUAUUUAACGGUAAUUAUAUUUAUUAUGGAUAAUUUUCUAUACAUUCAUCCAGUCUGGGGUGUAUGCCUUAUCCCCCUUUAUGGCUUGAUCAGAAAUUUAAGAUUUUCCUCCCAGCUCACUCUCCUCUCAUACGGAUAUUGUCUAAAAGGAAAUAUAUACAGUGUUCUUAAAUGAUGCUGUCACCUCUCACUCAAGGGAAGGAAAAACUGUUCCAG